rnacentral:rRNA from 1 species
GAUGAACGCUGGCGGCGUGCCUAAUACAUGCAAGUCGAGCGAACAGACGAGGAGCUUGAUCCUCUGACGUUAGCGGCGGACGGGUGAGUAACACGUGGAUAACCUACCUAUAAGACUGGGAUAACUUCGGGAAACCGGAGCUAAUACCGGAUAAUAUAUUGAACCGCAUGGUUCAAUAGUGAAAGACGGUUUUGCUGUCACUUAUAGAUGGAUCCGCGCCGCAUUAGCUAGUUGGUAAGGUAACGGCUUACCAAGGCAACGAUGCGUAGCCGACCUGAGAGGGUGAUCGGCCACACUGGAACUGAGACACGGUCCAGACUCCUACGGGAGGCAGCAGUAGGGAAUCUUCCGCAAUGGGCGAAAGCCUGACGGAGCAACGCCGCGUGAGUGAUGAAGGUCUUCGGAUCGUAAAACUCUGUUAUUAGGGAAGAACAAAUGUGUAAGUAACUAUGCACGUCUUGACGGUACCUAAUCAGAAAGCCACGGCUAACUACGUG